rnacentral:misc_RNA from 1 species
UCUCCGUAGGUGAACCUGCGGAGGGAUCAUUACCGAAUGUGCCCGCAAGACUUGUCUUGUCGGGGCAUUUACCCACCCUUGUAUGUGAAAAUGUACCUACCGAUCCCCGUCAUGGGGAUCUAUCAUGCACAACCACGCUUACAUCAUGACUUCUGAUAGCACAUAACAAAACAAAACUUUCAACAAUGGAUCUCUUGGUUCUGGCAUCGAUGAAGAACGCAGC